rnacentral:tRNA from 1 species
GCCGUAAAUCACAAACCCUGAUCGACGUUUUGCAAGCAGGAGGUCGUCGGUUCGAAUCCGAUGCGGCUCCA